rnacentral:lncRNA from 1 species
AGACGCCAGAAAGGCAAUGGACCUCAUCAUGACCGUUGCUGUACUUACAAUGAAAACAACUUGGUGGAUGGUGUGUAUUGUCUCCCAAUAGGACACUGGAUUGAGGCCACUGGGCACACCAAUGAAAUGAAGCACACAACAGACUUCUAUUUUAAUAUUGCAGGCCACCAAGCCAUGCAUUAUUCAAGAUGUUGGCUUUGCUGAUGGGUUGUAUGCACAGAAUGAGGAAGACAAGAGUUAAGCAUGUCUCGUGGUUUUAUGGCCUGAGCUACUGUAAUGGUGUUGCCACUUACUGAGAUGGGGAAGACUAGGAGAUGAGCAAUUUGAAGUAGGGAUUGAGCCCAUCUUGAGUGCUGGACCAUCAAUAAUGGAGAGACAUGAUCCUUGCUCUCAUGGAACUUAUGCUGUAGUGGAAGACAACAUGUAAACAGCUGCAAUACAGUUAAAUAUUUGCUGUAAUGAAGUUAUAUAUGUAGUGUAAAAAGGGACAGGAAA